rnacentral:rRNA from 1 species
CGGGGAAUUUUGGACAAUGGGCGCAAGCCUGAUCCAGCCAUUCCGCGUGCAGGACGAAGGCCUUCGGGUUGUAAACUGCUUUUGUACGGAACGAAAAGCCCUUCUCUCAUACAGAGGGGUCAUGACGGUACCGUAAGAAUAAGCACCGGCUAACUACGUGCCAGCAGCCGCGGUAAUACGUAGGGUGCGAGCGUUAAUCGGAAUUACUGGGCGUAAAGCGUGCGCAGGCGGUUGUGUAAGACAGAUGUGAAAUCCCCGGGCUCAACCUGGGAACUGCGUUUGUGACUGCAAGGCUGGAGUGCGGCAGAGGGGGAUGGAAUUGCGCGUGUAGCAGUGAAAUGCGUAGAUAUGCGGAAGAACACCGAUGGCGAAGGCAAUUCCCUGGGCCUGCACUGACGCUCAGGCACGAAAGAGUGAGGAGCAAACA